rnacentral:rRNA from 1 species
AGAAUGAACGCUGGCGGCGUGCUUUACACAUGCAAGUUGAGCGAGGCCGGUAGCAAUACCGAGUCGAGCGGCGAACGGGUGAGUAACGCGUGGAUAACCUGCCCUGAAGUGGGGAAUAACCCGGGGAAACUCGGGCUAAUACCGCAUGAAACCGAGAGGUCAAAGAGGGCUCGCAAGGGCUCUUGCUACAGGAGGGGUCCGCGUUCGAUUAGCUGGUUGGUAGGGUAAUGGCCUACCAAGGCGACGAUCGAUA